rnacentral:rRNA from 1 species
UACGAAGGGGGCUAGCGUUGCUCGGAAUCACUGGGCGUAAAGCGCACGUAGGCGGAUUGUUAAGUCAGGGGUGAAAUCCUGGAGCUCAACUCCAGAACUGCCUUUGAUACUGGCGAUCUUGAGUCCGGGAGAGGGGAGUGGAACUGCGAGUGUAGAGGUGAAAUUCGUAGAUAUUCGCAAGAACACCAGUGGCGAAGGCGGCUCACUGGCCCGGUACUGACGCUGAGGUGCGAAAGCGUGGGGAGCAAACAGG